AGUCAUAUGCUUGUCUCAAAGAUUAAGCCAUGCAUGUCUAAGUAUAAACUGCUUAUACUGUGAAACUGCGAAUGGCUCAUUAAAUCAGUUAUAGUUUAUUUGAUGGUACCUUACUACUCGGAUAACCGUAGUAAUUCUAGAGCUAAUACAUGCUAAAAACCUCGACUUCGGAAGGGGUGUAUUUAUUAGAUAAAAAACCAAUGCCCUUCGGGGCUCCUUGGUGAAUCAUAAUAACUUAACGAAUCGCAUGGCCUUGCGCCGGCGAUGGUUCAUUCAAAUUUCUGCCCUAUCAACUUUCGAUGGUAGGAUAGUGGCCUACCAUGGUAUCAACGGGUAACGG
rnacentral:rRNA from 1 species